GCAUAGUAAUAAUAGUAUAUAAUAUUAUAGUAAAAAUAAAAAAAUAUUAGCAAUAUUAAUUAAAUAAGCUAAAAAAUCUAAAAUACAAGAUUAAAGGUUGAAUUGCAAACAAGCAAAAUUUAAAUGCUGAUUUCACAAAAAAAAAUAAAAAUAAAAAGGAAAUAAAAACAAGAAGGGAGCAGAUUCAAAAGCGCGCAAUAAGAGGGGGACCAAUCGAGCAAUUCACCCAGACCUCCAAAACGCAGCGCAGAAAGGGACCGAAUUGAAACGAAAAUUAAAUAUGCGGCCCAAUUUUAAAACAAAUAAAAAGGAUUUAAUUGAUAUGCGUUGCAAAAGGGAGGGGCUAAAUGCGCAAUUAUAUCGUUCAAGGCAAUAACGCGCGGAUCCUCCCGACUGGGUCGGGUCACCGCGCGGGUCUGGCCAUUUAAAACGGCGCCGUUUCAUGUGCUGCAUAAAUGAAACAAAAUUGAAAAAAAGAAAAAAAA
rnacentral:lncRNA from 1 species